rnacentral:rRNA from 1 species
GACGAACGCUGGCGGCGUGCCUAAUACAUGCAAGUAGGACGCAGUUGCGAACGGGUGAGUAACGCGUAGGUAACUGACUAUUAGAGGGGGAUAACUAUUGGAAACGAUAGCUAAUACCGCAUACUAGUGGAUGGCCCUCGGUUGUAUUACGAAGUAGGUGGGGUAAUGGCCUACCUAGGCAACGAUACAUAGCGGACCUGGGAGGGGUAUCGGCCACACUGGGACUGAGACACGGCCCAGACUCCUACGGGAGGCAGCAGUAGGGAUUCUUCGGCAAUGGGGGGAACCCUGACCGAGCAACGCCGCGUGAGUGAAGAAGGUUUUCGGAUCGUAAAGCUCUGUUGUUAAGGAAGCGGUACUUAACCAGAAAGGGACGGCUAACUACGUGCCAGCAGCCGCGGUAAUAC